UCUGUGUGCCAGAAGAAAAAGAGAGAGACACAGAAAGUCCUCAGCUUGACAACGUAGGCUUAAAGUGAGAAAAACCGAGAGUAGGUGUUUCUAACUAGAGAAACUGCCAUUAACGAACUGCUUAUAGCUGAAAACAGAGUAUUACAACUUUCGAAAACCUGCAAAGGAGAGGAAAAGUAGUCACUCACCGUAAACAGUUGGGCUCUUCCAGCGGUCAUUCCUGUGGGGUUGCUGCGGGGGGAGAGAUUCAUUUGCACCUGCGGUAGAGUGCAGGCAUGCCAGAUUGGAUUCGGUCAGUUUUUUUUGGUUGGGAAAAGAUUGAUUUAUGAGAGCAUUCUUCACAUCGUCCGACUGAGUGCUGCGGGUGCACCGAAGGGGACGAGACGGCGAGCCAAAGGACCACACCAGCAAAACUUGAGUUUGAGUAUUCCUUUUUGCUGGACUUUGUUCCACUAAUCAUUCUUGUUUACACUUACGUUCACUGACUUUUGAUAUUUGAUAUUUGAACUUUGAUGCUUGAGUAAAUACAUUAAAAAAAAAAAAAGAACUUCAUUUACCUUUAAAGCAAAGGGAGACAAUUCUGUUCACUUUAAAGUAAUCGUUUACUUAUUCUUUGCUAUUUGAUAGCUGUUUGUAUUUCCUUUCAUUUUUUUUUAAAUCACUGUUAACGUCAUUGACAAAUGUUGGAUUGUGUUUGUUGAUGGUUAAGUGUACAAUUUCAAAGUAAGGUGAUUUUGAGCUAAAUAACAUAAAGGGUAUUUCAGAGGAAAGCUAAAGUUAGACCAAUAAUAGCCAAGCUAAACCAAUAAUAAGUAUUAGUUUCUAUCUUUAAAUAGGAAACAGAAUCCUAAACUCUAAAAAUAAAUAACAAAAUAGCAUAAAAAAAAACAAAUACUCACCUCAAACCGCAGAACCAAACGUAAACUGAACCUAGAACAAAAGCAAUUAGUUAUUAAAAUAGCGAACAAAAGGUUACACUAAUCGUAUACUUACCUGAGGACUGAGUAACCAAACCUGAAAUAAACAACAAAGGUGAUUAGUAUAUAUCUAUAACACUGAGUAACACUUGGGUAAUAAAGAAAAAAAAGAGAGAGAAAAGGGAAAAAAGGGUUCUUACCUGUGAUUUUGCACUGUGAAUCAGUUGUACAUUGUUUAUUUUAUUUGAGGAAAUUCUGUACAUUGAUUUAUUUAUUUUAUUUCAUUUUAUUCCUGAAAGAAAAAAAAGAAUCUUUGCUGCACUGACGAAAUUUCCCCAAUACAGUACAUAAUUUGCCAUAUA